rnacentral:rRNA from 1 species
CCUACGGGCGGCUGCAGUGGGGAAUAUUGCACAAUGGGGGAAACCCUGAUGCAGCGACGCCGCGUGAGUGAAGAAGGAACUCGGUAUGUAAAGCUCUAUCAGCAAGGACGAAAAUGACGGUACCAGUGUAAGAAUCCCCGGCUAACUACGUGCCAGCAGCCGCGGUAAUACGUCGGGGGCAAGCGUUAUCCGGAUUUACUGGGUGGAAAGGGAGCGUAGAUGGCUGUGCAAGUCUGGAGUGAAAGGCGGGGGCUCAACCCCAGGACUGCUCAGGAAACUGUACGGCUGGAGUGCAGGAGAGGGAAGUGGAAUUCCUAGUGUAGCGGUGAAAUGCGUAGAUAUUAGGAAGAACACCAGUGGCGAAGGCAGCUUACUGGACUGUAACUGACGUUGAGGCUCGAAAGCGUGGGGAGCAAACAGGAUUAGAUACCCGAGUAGUC